UAAACGCUGGCGGCGUGCUUAACACAUGGCAAGGUCGAACGGAGUGGUCCUCCCGAAGACCUGAUGGUGCUUGCACCUGAUGGAAUUCAUUUGGAUCACUUAGUGGCGGACGGGUGAGUAACGCGUGGGUAACCUGCCUCACACUGGGGGAUAGCAGUUGGAAACGACUGAUAAUACCGCAUAAGCGCACAGUAUCGCAUGGUACAGUGUGAAAAACUCCGGUGGUGUGAGAUGGACCCGCGUCUGAUUAGCUAGUUGGUGAGGUAACGGCCCACCAAGGCGACGAUCAGUAGCCGGCCUGAGAGGGUGUACGGCCACAUUGGGACUGAGACACGGCCCAAACUCCUACGGGAGGCAGCAGUGGGGAAUAUUGGACAAUGGGGGAAACCCUGAUCCAGCGAACGCCGCGUGAGUGAAGAAGUAUCUCGGUAUGUAAAGCUCUAUCAGCAGGGAAGAUAAUGACGGUACCUGACUAAGAAGCACCGGCUAAAUACGUGCCAGCCGCUGC
rnacentral:rRNA from 1 species